rnacentral:rRNA from 1 species
UAGGGAAUCUUCGGCAAUGGGGGCAACCCUGACCGAGCAACGCCGCGUGAGUGAAGAAGGUUUUCGGAUCGUAAAGCUCUGUUGUAAGAGAAGAACGUGUGUGAGAGUGGAAAGUUCACACAGUGACGGUAACUUACCAGAAAGGGACGGCUAACUACGUGCCAGCAGCCGCGGUAAUACGUAGGUCCCGAGCGUUGUCCGGAUUUAUUGGGCGUAAAGCGAGCGCAGGCGGUUUAAUAAGUCUGAAGUUAAAGGCAGUGGCUUAACCAUUGUUCGCUUUGGAAACUGUUAAACUUGAGUGCAGAAGGGGAGAGUGGAAUUCCAUGUGUAGCGGUGAAAUGCGUAGAUAUAUGGAGAAACACCGGUGGCGAAAGCGGCUCUCUGGUCUGUAACUGACGAUGAGGAUCGAAAGCGUGGGGAGCAAACAGG